rnacentral:rRNA from 1 species
UACGAAGGGUGCUAGCGUUGCCCGGAAUCACUGGGCGUAAAGCGCACGUAGGCGGAUCUUCAAGUCAGGGGUGAAAUCCCAAGGCUCAACCUUGGAACUGCCUUUGAUACUGGGGAUCUCGAGUCCGGAAGAGGUUGGUGGAACUGCGAGUGUAGAGGUGAAAUUCGUAGAUAUUCGCAAGAACACCAGUGGCGAAGGCGGCCAACUGGUCCGGUACUGACGCUGAGGUGCGAAAGCGUGGGGAGCAAACAGG